UAGAGUUUGAUCCUGGCUCAGGACGAACGCUGGCGGCGUGCCUAAUACAUGCAAGUCGAGCGGACAGAUGGGAGCUUGCUCCCUGAUGUUAGCGGCGGACGGGUGAGUAACACGUGGGUAACCUGCCUGUAAGACUGGGAUAACUCCGGGAAACCGGGGCUAAUACCGGAUGGCUGUUUGAACCGCAUGGUUCAAACAUAAAAGGUGGCUUCGGCUACCACUUGCAGAUGGACCCGCGGCGCAUUAGCUAGUUGGUGAGGUAAUGGCUCACCAAGGCAACGAUGCGUAGCCRACCUGAGAGGGUGAUCGGCCACACUGGGACUGAGACACGGCCCAGACUCCUACGGGAGGCAGCAGUAGGGAAUCUUCCGCAAUGGACGAAAGUCUGACGGAGCAACGCCGCGUGAGUGAUGAAGGUUUUCGGAUCGUAAAGCUCUGUUGUUAGGGAAGAACAAGUACCGUUCGAAUAGGGCGGUACCUUGACGGUACCUAACCAGAAAGCCACGGCUAACUACGUGCCAGCAGCCGCGGUAAUACGUAGGUGGCAAGCGUUGUCCGGAAUUAUUGGGCGUAAAGGGCUCGCAGGCGGUUUCUUAAGUCUGAUGUGAAAGCCCCCGGCUCAACCGGGGAGGGUCAUUGGAAACUGGGGAACUUGAGUGCAGAAGAGGAGAGUGGAAUUCCACGUGUAGCGGUGAAUGCGUAGAGAUGUGGAGGAACACCAGUGGCGAAGGCGACUCUCUGGUCUGUAAC
rnacentral:rRNA from 1 species